rnacentral:rRNA from 1 species
GACGAACGCUGGCGGCGUGCUUAACACAUGCAAGUCGAACGGAAAGGCCCUGCUUUUGUGGGGUGCUCGAGUGGCGAACGGGUGAGUAACACGUGAGUAACCUGCCCUUGACUUUGGGAUAACUUCAGGAAACUGGGGCUAAUACCGGAUAGGAGCUCCUGCUGCAUGGUGGGGGUUGGAAAGUUUCGGCGGUUGGGGAUGGACUCGCGGCUUAUCAGCUUGUUGGUGGGGUAGUGGCUUACCAAGGCUUUGACGGGUAGCCGGCCUGAGAGGGUGACCGGCCACAAUGGGACUGAGGUGCGGCCCAGACGCCUACGGGAGGCAGCAGUGGGGAAUAUUGCACAAUGGGCGGAAGCCUGAUGCAGCAACGCCGCGUGCGGGAUGACGGCCUUCGGGUUGUAAACCGCUUUCGCCUGUGACGAAGCGUGAGUGACGGUAAUGGGUAAAGAAGCACCGGCUAACUACGUG